UCCCUUUGAAGGCAGAAUAUAAAGUAAUGAAGGAAGUUAAGGAGACAAACGCAGGUACUUUGAGACGCUGGUGACUGGUGAAUCCCGGAACUUCUGUGGCAGAAGACUCCGCAACCUUCUUCUCUGGCUGACUGGAAACACAGUAUUGAUUUCUACCUUUGCAAAGCAGACACUAUGUAGUCCAGCCAAGGGCAAGGCACUGACCACAAGACCUGCAGGCUUCCCUCUAGACCCUGUUAUUUCAUGACCACAUAUUUUAACAAUUGGAGUUUUUGCCACGCAUUCCAAUUACACCCUUGUUAGUUGCUCAAUGCCUUAGUGAAAACCUUCAGAUUCUACUGGCUGCCCUUCACAAACAGUCUGAAAUGCUCUGCCACAGGUAUCUUGUUAGAAAUAAGCAUGGAUCACGCCAUGCAGGCGGAAGGUUGCCCAGCUUACCUUCAUGGCCAGGAUUCUUUGAGGCCUACGCUUCGCGGUCUGCACGGUGUUGCCAUUUCAUCUUCAUCAGGCCUGUUGUGUUGCACAGGCAGCGAAUAUGACUCCAAGCACUCCGCAGCUCAAAAAAUGCAGAUACACACGUCACCGCUAGCUGGAACUAGGGUUCAUCUUCCCUGGUCAGAGCUUGGAAAGGUUUGAAGCUAGCCCUGCAGAGAGGAGAGUGGAAAUAAAUUAUGAAGCAAGCUAAAUAGAGAAUUCAGUUCUGGAUUUUUGAAAAAACAACCAGCAGAAUAUACUAAUGUAAAAAUAAAUGGCCACUAUUUGCUCAACCAUUUAUUUGCGCUAAGAGAAAAUACUAACGAGAAUAACAAAGUAAUUGAAACAGGUAACAGGUCUUGUUUUCAAAGUCAUAGAUCAGUGUCAACUUUGUAAUUCUCUGCUCUGGGCUCAAAAUGCACAGGAUGAAGUCCUGACCCCAGUACCUCAGAAUGGGACUGUAUUUGGAGAUAGGGCCUUCAUAGCAGUAAUUAAGGUAUAAUGAGGUCAUAUGGGUGGGCUCUAAUCCAGUAUGACUGGUGCUCUUAUGAGCAAGGAUUAGGACACAGACAAUAUAGGAGGUUGACCGUGUGAGGACGCAGUAAGAAGGCAGAAGGCAGUUGGUUGUAAACCAAGGAGCAAGGCAUCAGAAAAAACCAUCCCUGCAGACUCCCUGAUCUCGGACUCCCAGCCCCCAGCACUGGGACAAUCAGGUCUGUUGCUUAAUCCCCCAGGCUGUGGUAUUUUGUGAUAGCAGCCUGAAAGAAGACACUCCCCCAUCCCCUCACUCCCAUUUUUGAACAGUGGCUGGUUUUUGAUCAACUUCACUUGACUCUUCCUUCUCACCCUCACUUCAUUUUGCUCCAGAGAGCCCCUCACUAGCUCCUCCUUUCACUUGCCCUGCUUCCUUGUCUUUUAAAAGAGUUUCUCUCACAUUCUUCCCAGACAGAGCAGCCGCCUUGGGGAUGUGAGGGAGAGAAGGGAUCUUGCACCGAGCACCCCAGAGCUGGUGAGAGACCCAGCCUCCCAAAGUUCACACAUGUACCUGGUUUGCAAUGGCAGAAUAAAAACCAUGUGAAAUGGUCAGAAGAUGUACCUCUUCCUUUCUGGAUGACCCUGACUGACUCGUUCAACUUCUCUGAGCUUCUGUUUUCUACCAUGUUUGAAAAAUGGUGAUGUGAAUUCUUGAAUGGUUGUUGUAAGGCUCAAUGAAGAUAAUGCAUUGAAAAACACUUCAUAUGCUAAUCACCACAACUCAAGUUUUUCUACCUAUGAAAUAGGUACUACCUAGCAUUUCACAGUAUAGUUUAAUGAGAAAAAAAAAAAAAACAAAAA
rnacentral:lncRNA from 1 species